rnacentral:rRNA from 1 species
GACGAACGCUGGCGGCGUGCUUAACACAUGCAAGUCGAACGGUGAAGCGCCUUCCUUUUUGGUGGGUGUGGAUGAGUGGCGAACGGGUGAGUAACACGUGAGUAACCUGCCCCCUUCUUCUGGAUAACCGCAUGAAAGUGUGGCUAAUACGGGAUAUUCUGGGUCUGUCGCAUGAUGGGUCUGGGAAAGAUAUUGUUUCGGUGGGGGAUGGGCUCGCGGCCUAUCAGCUUGUUGGUGGGGUGAUGGCCUACCAAGGCGGUGACGGGUAGCCGGCCUGAGAGGGUGGACGGUCACACUGGGACUGAGACACGGCCGAGACUCCUACGGGAGGCAGCAGUGGGGAAUAUUGCACAAUGGGAGAAAGCCUGAUGCAGCGACGCCGCGUGAGGGAUGGAGGCCUUGGGGUUGUGAACCUCUUUCGCCAGUGAAGCAGGCCUGCCUCGUUUGUGGGUGGGUUGACGGUAGCUGGAUAAGAAGCGCCGGCUAACUACGUG